rnacentral:rRNA from 1 species
GGUUUGACGGUACCUUUAAAGGAAGCACCGGCUAACUCCGUGCCAGCAGCCGCGGUAAUACGGGGGGUGCAAGCGUUGUCCGGAAUUAUUGGGCGUAAAGCGCGUGUAGGCGGUCUGAUUAGUCUGAUGUGAAAGCCCUGGGCUCAACCCAGGAAGUGCAUUGGAUACUGUCAGACUUGAAUACGGGAGAGGGUAGUGGAAUUCCUAGUGUAGGAGUGAAAUCCGUAGAUAUUAGGAGGAACACCGGUGGCGAAGGCGGCUACCUGGACCGAUAYUGACGCUGAGACGCGAAAGCGUGGGUAGCAAACAGGAUUAGAUACCCUGGUAGUCCACGCCGUAAACGAUGAGAACUAGGUGUCGCGGGUA